rnacentral:lncRNA from 1 species
UCAAUCCUCUCAUGUAUGGCUCCCUUAUCUAGGGGACUUUGGCAUGUCAUGUGAUCUCCCUGUGAAUGAGCCAAGACAAGGACUCCCAGCCUUCUGACUGCUAAAUCAUUGCUCUCUUCAUUACAUCAUAUUGUCACAGCUGUUUUGCAAGAUGACUAAUUUAUGAGAAUAGUUCAAACAACGUAUCUGGAAGUAGAUUUUUAAAAAGUACAACUUCAUUUUAUUCUCCAAAUAAAAGACUGCUGAAGCUUCUGAGAAAAAGAAAAAAGAGUGAAGGAUCAUCUUUGAUCAUGCAGUGAGCUGAUUCCAAAAUGUGGACAAAAAGCAGACUCAAAGGCAAUGGUUCCGAGAAACAGUGAAUGUCACAAGGAGACACCUGGGCUCUUUAUAAAGAGGUCUCUCUCAGCCUCCCUGCGCUUAGGGACAGUGGACAGCACUGCAGCACUGCACUUGGGGCCAUUUUAAACAGCGAAGUCACCAAAACCAAGCAAAAGAAUGCUAAAAGCACAGUACUAAACAGACCAUGGAAAAGAUAUAUGUACAGCAUGAGAAGGUAAAGUGUCUGUCUGACCUCAGUGGGGAGCAUAAGCACUGGAUGACUCAACUUUUUCACUUCUCUGUGCAUGUCCAAAAAUGACAAAAAUGACUCUGUGGAAGUACUCUGUGUGUUGAUUUGGGGGUUAAAAUACAUUUGAGCAGCUGG